AACGCUUCACAUCUCUCAAAAUCUAAAAAUCCCUUUUCUAUAGAUUCUAAACCCUAGAAACUCUGAAACACUCUAAAAUUCUGCCGCAACUCUUUAAGUUUGAGUUUUCCCUUCUCGUUUGGAAGCUUAGUCCUUGGUUAAGACUGAAGAUGCUCGACUUUCUCGAUGCAGGCGUUCUGGUUUUGGUUUUAAUCUGUUGAGCGGAAAUGGAACCGUCACAUAAGAUGUCUGAGCUAUUGUAAUGGAAGAAGCUGAUUUUCAAUCUACAUAUCCCACAAUUUGGAGUUUAUCUGUGAUAUCUCACUAUAUUAGACGUUAUUGGAUAGAGGGGGAGCAGAAGAAAGAUGAGGUAGUAAUCAGAUUGUACUAUAUUUACUGGUUAAUGAUUACCAAUUAUCUUCCACUUUUACAUGGCCGGAUCGUACUACAGUUGUUGGAUUUGCUGGUCAAGUUGUACAUUACAGAUGUAUAGUCUCAAACUUUGCAAUGUUGGCCAUUACUACAUUCACCAAAGUAUCUUCUGCAAAUAGAAUACAAGGGAUGGUAAACUUGCUAAGCUGUAGGCUUAAAAGUUGAGAGUUUGGUGUUUUCUCAAAACAAAAUCUGUUAAUAAUCUAUUUGGUUUUGAUUACGGAAUUGAUUUGUACAUAUGCGUUCACACAUAUGUAUGGUUCUUGUAUACGCUUGCACUUAAUGAGUUUGAACGUUUUUUCAAGUGGGUUAUAUCUCUGUUAGAUUUGAAUUAUUUUGACAGAAAAUCUAUUAAACCUAUUUCGCCAUGGUAGCAUCUCUAAUAAGAAUCUA